UUUAAAGGUACUUCAAGGUAAAUAUAAUUAAUAAUAAAAUAUAUAGUUUCUUUAAAAAUUUUAAAUUUUAAUUAUAUUGUAUAAUUUGACAUCAUUUUAUAUAUUUUAAGGUUGCUAUUACUUGGAAAAUGCUAGCUACACUAAUUGAGAGGGAUUUCUCACCUUUUAUAGAGGGCAAUGUUAUCAUCUUAAUGAGUGGAAGGGUGAAAGACAACCACAAACAGCAGAGGAGUAUUUCAACAAAAAACACUCCAAAGCUAGAAAUGUCAUAGAGAGAUGUUUUGGUUUACUUAAAGGACGAUAGUCAAUUCUUAGGAGUCCUUCAUUCUAUCCAAUAUGAACUCAAGGACGUAUUGUUAUAACAUGUUAUUUAUUACAUAAUUUAAUAAGAAAGAUUCAUGCCAACAGAUAUGAAAGAGGAAAUUCUUGAUGAUGAAGACAAAGAGGAAGGAAAUAUUAAUGAUGAAGUUGAGUUCAUCAACCAAUUCAAACAUUUGACCAUUGGACAAAUUUUAGGAAUUCCUUAGCCCAACAAAUAUUCAAUAAUUUUAUAGCUCAUUCUGUUAGACAUUGAAUUUAUGAUGAACCAUUUUAUUGUUAUUUGAUUAUUGUAGUGUGUUAUUUUAAAGAAUUGAG
rnacentral:misc_RNA from 1 species